CUCCUACCUCAUGCUGCUUGCCUGGUGCGUAUGAUGCUCUUGCCACUUUGUGUUCCUUGGCAGAGCACAGGUGUGGUGGAGAUAUUGAAGGGAGAGCCAGUAGCACCAAGACUGCAGAAGCAGAAAAGUUGAAGACGUAGAAGUGCCAGCGGAAGGUUGGCUCUCUUUUUCUGGCUCUGCUGUGAAUUAAGUUCAACCUUUCCUUAAGAAGGUUUGUGUUUCAGAACAGCACAUUAAAAAAAAAACUUGACCCAAGCCCCCAAACAAGAUAGUUGAUGGAAGAAAAAAGCUCUCUGCUUAGGUUUGAAAAUUCUUCAAGAGGAGGAAUGCAAAGGGACUGAAGAACUCAAGCAGUUGUCGUCCAUGCCCCUUCUCCAUGCCAACAUAUUUCUUUCUUCCAACUUCUGAUCGCAAAUUAGUAGUUUAGUAACUGACCGUGUAGUGUUUUGGACUAUUAUUCUAUUUGGGUCUGCUUUCACCUAAAUAACAACCAUCUGGUGGUGUCUCAAAUCAGAUACCUGUGAUGGACUGUGUAUAAUAACCAGUUCAAGGACUGUCAGGGGAAGGGUUAACAUUCUUGCCCCGAGCAGAAGGACCGCAGCUGCAUGCCGUAAACUUAGCACAAAGAUUGUCAGGGUAGAAGGCCUGGGUCAGCUGUAAAGAAUUAAGCAAAUCCCCCUACUACAAGAAGAGGGAAGAAGAAGAGUGGAAUUAAGAAGUCUCUUUCUGUCUUUGUGUUUGGUUCAUGGUGAAAUAGAUAUCUGAGAACAUUUGAAGCAUACCUCAACCCUUAGCCUCUACGCAAUUUUUUCUCAUGGAAGGUCUUGCACCUUGAUCUCACAGAACCUGAGCAAUCCAUCUUCUGUUCCAGUAAUGUGUGAAGUUUGAAGAAGGAAAGGUGGAAGUUUUACUCUAUGUUGAAAUGUUCCCAGUGCAAACCCUUCUUCAAGAACAAGACUGAAGCAUAAACGUGUCUUGUUUUCUCCUAGAUGUUGUAUACUUCUUCAGAACAAACAGUUUCCAAACGCAGAGUUCUGUGAAAGGUUUAUCACAGGGAGAUGGGGAAAUGGCACGUCUUCCUCUUACAAAUCAUGGGACAGCUGGAAACAAAAGUAUGUGUCACAGGAUAUUAGUGAUGGAAAAAAAAAGUAUUAAGGGCUGGUUGACUUUGUAUAUCCAAAGUCUCUUUUGUGGAGAACAGGAAUGUGAAAUACUGGAGCGUCUUGCAGAAAGGAGGCUUCCACAAAAAGACAAGGCUGAGGAUGCUAUUACAGCCUGGGACCAUGGUAAGCGUGUAGUCUGGACUCCUCGUGAUGGGUGGUGAAGGCCACAUUAUGAUUUCUUGUUUCUUUCUGCUUUCUCAGGUUCUUUGAAUUUGUCGAGGUGCCAAGGGUUAUUGAGCUUUGCUCUUUUUCUUUGUUCUUUUUUAGCUGUGGGUUGGAAAGCAAUUUGCCUCUAUGCGUAUGUGUUAAUGCACAAUAUGUGUAUAUACAUACAACAAAUAUGCAUAGAUAUAAAUAUGUGUGUAUACAUGCAAAAACAUCUUCAAGACUAUAAAUCUUUUAUACUGAAUUAUGCAAAAGCAGAGCCAUAUGCUUAUCUUUGUAACCAUAAAGAAUCCCACUGAAAUCAGUAAAAUUUCUUCCAGCAAUAGAGGAUGCGUGGGGUUUUGACUCUGUUUUGACAGCUCAGAGUAAAGGCUGGCUUUUUUUGUUCUAAGCUCAAAUCCAGGCACUUGCUGUUUGUCAGAAGGCUGCUGCUCCUCUUGUGUCUUUGGAGGAACUGCCUGAGGGAGCAGUCACCCACCUGAACCUUUGCUCCUGCCUUUCUUGACUUGUGUGAGUCAACACUUUAUAAACUUACUUGUUUUCUCCAUAACUGUUGCUGCACUGCAUGGCUCUGAAGCUGCUGUCCAUCUGUAAGAUUUAAAGCAAGACUCUUGACUUUAUCUGCUGUUGACAAUGGAAAAAGCAGAUUUGUUCUGGCUUUCUAUUUUUUGUAGGGGUAGGACUAUAUUUGAUAUAUGAAAACAUUUUUCAAAAUGAUUAGAUCAAUCCCUCUGUAAUUUGAUUUGUUGGGUGGGAGGAGGGGAGGUGGAGAAAAAAAAAAAAGUACUGUAGACUGUUUCUCAAUAAAACUGCAACAACUAAGACUCCAGACCAACAAACACUUACACAUGUGCUUAGCUUCAAGUCUGAGUUAGACCCAAGGGGCCUAUAUUUGUAUUUGAUUAAUGACAAUUAUUUGAAGAGAGAUGGACUGGAUGGAAUCAACUGGAAAAAAUAUGUAGCUAUAAAAAUGUAU